GAUGAACGCUGGCGGCGUGCCUAAUACAUGCAAGUCGAGCGAACAGACGAGGAGCUUGCUCCUCUGACGUUAGCGGCGGACGGGUGAGUAACACGUGGAUAACCUACCUAUAAGACUGGGAUAACUUCGGGAAACCGGAGCUAAUACCGGAUAAUAUAUUGAACCGCAUGGUUUAAUAGUGAAAGACGGUUUUGCUGUCACUUAUAGAUGGAUCCGCGCCGCAUUAGCUAGUUGGUAAGGUAACGGCUUACCAAGGCAACGAUGCGUAGCCGACCUGAGAGGGUGAUCGGCCACACUGGAACUGAGACACGGUCCAGACUCCUACGGGAGGCAGCAGUAGGGAAUCUUCCGCAAUGGGCGAAAGCCUGACGGAGCAACGCCGCGUGAGUGAUGAAGGUCUUCGGAUCGUAAAACUCUGUUAUUAGGGAAGAACAAAUGCGUAAGUAACUAUGCACGUCUUGACGGUACCUAAUCAGAAAGCCACGGCUAACUACGUG
rnacentral:rRNA from 1 species